GAGUUUGAUCCUGGCUCAGAACGAACGCUGACGGCAUGCCUAACACAUGCAAGUCGAACGAGACCUUCGGGUCUAGUGGCGCACGGGUGCGUAACGCGUGGGAAUCUGCCCUUGGGUUCGGAAUAACACAGAGAAAUUUGUGCUAAUACCGGAUGAUGUCUUCGGACCAAAGAUUUAUCGCCCAAGGAUGAGCCCGCGUAGGAUUAGGUAGUUGGUGGGGUAAUGGCCUACCAAGCCGACGAUCCUUAGCUGGUCUGAGAGGAUGAUCAGCCACACUGGGACUGAGACACGGCCCAGACUCCUACGGGAGGCAGCAGUGGGGAAUAUUGGACAAUGGGCGAAAGCCUGAUCCAGCAAUGCCGCGUGAGUGAUGAAGGCCUUAGGGUUGUAAAGCUCUUUUACCAGGGAUGAUAAUGACAGUACCUGGAGAAUAAGCUCCGGCUAACUCCGUGCCAGCAGCCGCGGUAAUACG
rnacentral:rRNA from 1 species